rnacentral:misc_RNA from 1 species
GUGUCGCGGAGGCACAUAUACUGCUGACAACUGGAAGUAGUUGCUGCUAGUUUGAACUGUGACGGUGGUUGCUUGUAAAUAUUCUUUGUUAACUUGGCUGUGUAGAUAAUGUUUGAUAUCGUUUCUGACUAUCACUGCUGUCCCUCCGUGAGCUUUUCCUGAGGGGUGUUUGGUAUCAUAUAUGGUGCAGUAUGGUAUUUUCAUGUAGCUUUUUGUAGUGAAGUGUGUUUCUGAGACAAGUAGUAUGUCUAUAUUGUUACUGUAUAUGAAUGUUUUAAUUUCGAGGGCCCGUUGUUGUAGGCCGCUUGAGUUCCAGGCUGCUAUUUUUAGAGUGUCCGUUUUUUAUUUUUUGCUUAGCACGUUUGUAAUUAGUUGUAGCAUGACUGUGAUUUGUUG